rnacentral:lncRNA from 1 species
GGCGUAUAAAAUUAUAAUCCUGGUACUUUUGAUAACUAUUUGGGGCCCUUUAUAGCUUGCUGUUCGGAGUGAGUCAAGGCUCCGCGUUGAAGACCGUACCUUAACCUAGUAUAAUGGUUUACAUUUACAAAUUGUGACUAGGGUGGAGAGUUGUCUCAUUGGCACUCAUACAUCAUCUUCUUAUAUCUAUUUUCACGAUGUUGAUACAGAAUGAGUCUGUUGUCAUGUUUAGUCCUCGAUUGGAAUAAUAAAUAUCCUUAUUGUUGGACAGGUGUUCGGGUAUCUAUGAGCAACUGAAGAAUUCGUCAAAAUAAAUGAACUGUAUAAUAUUCAGUGAAGUACUUUAAAUCGUGUAAAAUAAAAGUACAGGCGGAAGUUUGAACCAGAUGCUCAAUAUUAUAGGAAUUUCCAGUUUCGGAAGUAUUUUUGAACAAACACGGUUUACCAAAACUUAUUUCUUUCAAUCAAAGAAAUGGGACAGGAAGAGAAAAUAAUACUCAAGAAUAGAAUAUUUACAUUGUUAAUAUGCAUUUAAAGUAUUUUGAUCGCACUUGUGUAG